GAUGAAGAACGUAGCGAAACGCGAUAGUUAAUGUGAAUUGCAGAAUUCAGUGAAUCAUCGAAUCUUUGAACGCACAUUGCGCCCCAUGGUAUUCCGUGGGGCAUGCCUGUUCGAGCGUCAUUUACCCCCUCAAGCUCCGCUUGGUGUUGGGCGUCUGUCCCGCUUCGCGCGCGGACUCGCCCCAAAGGUAUUGGCAGCGGUCGUGCCAGCUUCUCGCGCAGCACAUUGCGCUUCUCGAGGCACCGGUGGGCCCGCGUCCAUCAAGCUCACCCCCCCAGUUUGACCUCGGAUCAGGUAGGGAUACCCGCUGAACUUAAGCAUAUCAAUAAGCGGAGGA
rnacentral:misc_RNA from 1 species